rnacentral:ncRNA from 2 species
ACAGGGAUAACUGGCUUGUGGCAGCCA